rnacentral:rRNA from 1 species
AUUGAACGCUGGCGGCAGGCCUAACACAUGCAAGUCGAGCGGAUGAAGGGAGCUUGCUCCUGGAUUCAGCGGCGGACGGGUGAGUAAUGCCUAGGAAUCUGCCUGGUAGUGGGGGAUAACGUCUGGAAACGGGCGCUAAUACCGCAUACGUCCUGAGGGAGAAAGUGGGGGAUCUUCGGACCUCACGCUAUCAGAUGAGCCUAGGUCGGAUUAGCUAGUUGGUGGGGUAAAGGCCUACCAAGGCGACGAUCCGUAACUGGUCUGAGAGGAUGAUCAGUCACACUGGAACUGAGACACGGUCCAGACUCCUACGGGAGGCAGCAGUGGGGAAUAUUGGACAAUGGGCGAAAGCCUGAUCCAGCCAUGCCGCGUGUGUGAAGAAGGUCUUCGGAUUGUAAGGCACUUUAAGUUGGGAGGAAGGGCAGUAAGUUAAUACCUUGCUGUUUUGACGUUACCAACAGAAUAAGCACCGGCUAACUUCGUG